CCGGUGACAAACCGGAGGAAGGUGGGGAUGACGUCAAGUCCUCAUGGCCCUUAUGGGUAGGGCUUCACACGUCAUACAAUGGUGCAUACAGAGGGUUGCCAACCCGCGAGGGGGAGCUAAUCUCAGAAAAUGCAUCGUAGUCCGGAUCGUAGUCUGCAACUCGACUACGUGAAGCUGGAAUCGCUAGUAAUCGCGGAUCAGAAUGUCGCGGUGAAUACGUUCCCG
rnacentral:rRNA from 1 species